rnacentral:snRNA from 1 species
AUGCUCGCUUCAGCACAUAUACUAAAAUUGGAACAAUGCAGAGAAGAUUAGCACGGUCCCCGCACAAGGAUGACAGGCAAAUCCAUGAAGUGUUCCAUAUUUUC